rnacentral:rRNA from 1 species
GACGGAGGAUGCAAGUGUUAUCCGGAAUCACUGGGCGUAAAGCGUCUGUAGGUGGUUUAAAAAGUCUACUGUUAAAAAUUGAAGCUUAACUUCAAAGAUGCCGUAGAAACUUUUAAACUUGAGGAUGGUAGGGGUAGAGGGAAUUUCCAGUGGAGCGGUGAAAUGCGUAGAUCUUGGAAAGACCACCAAUGGCGAAGGCACUCUACUGGGCCAUUACUGACACUGAGAGACGAAAGCUAGGGGAGCGAAUGGG